rnacentral:rRNA from 1 species
UACGGAGGAUGCGAGCGUUAUCCGGAUUUAUUGGGUUUAAAGGGUGCGCAGGCGGGAAAUUAAGUCGGCGGUGAAAUUUUGCAGCUCAACUGUAAAAGUGCCUUCGAAACUGGUUUCCUUGAGUGUAGAUGAAGUAGGCGGAAUUUGUGGUGUAGCGGUGAAAUGCAUAGAUAUCACGAGGAACUCCGAUUGCGCAGGCAGCUUACUAAACUACUACUGACGCUCAGGCACGAAGGCGUGGGGAUCAAACAGGAUUAGAUACCCGGGUAGUCCCU